rnacentral:rRNA from 1 species
AGGGUCUCAUGUCUAGUAUAAGCAAUUAUACCGCGAAACUGCGAAUGGCUCAUUAUAUAAGUUAUCGUUUAUUUGAUAAUACUUUACUACUUGGAUAACCGUGGUAAUUCUAGAGCUAAUACAUGCUAAAAAUCCCGACUUCGGAAGGGUUGUAUUUAUUAGAUUAAAAACCAAUGCCCCUCGGGGCUCUCUGGUGAAUCAUGAUAACUAGUCGAAUCGACAGGCCUUGUGCCGGCGAUGGCUCAUUCAAAUUUCUUCCCUAUCAACUUUCGAUGUUUGGGUCUUGUCCAAACAUGGUGGCAACGGGUAACGGAGGGUUAGGGCUCGACCCCGGAGAAGGAGCCUGAGAAACGGCUACUACAUCCAAGGAAGGCAGCAGGCGCGCAAAUUACCCAAUCCCGACACGGGGAGGUAGUGACAAUAAAUACUGAUACAGGGCUCUUUUGGGUCUUGUAAUCGGAAUGAGUACAAUUUAAAUCCCUUAACGAGGAACAAUUGGAGGGCAAGUCUGGUGCCAGCAGCCGCGGUAAUUCCAGCUCCAAUAGCGUAUAUUAAAGUUGUUGUGGUUAAAAAGCUCGUAGUUGAACCUUGGGCCUGGCUGGCCGGUCCGCCUCACCGCGUGCACUGGUCCGGCCGGGCCUUUCCCUCUGCGGAACCCCAUGCCCUUCACUGGGUGUGGCGGGGAAACAGGACUUUUACUUUGAAAAAAUUAGAGUGCUCAAGGCAGGCCUAUGCUCGAAUACAUUAGCAUGGAAUAAUAGAAUAGGACGUGUGGUUCUAUUUUGUUGGUUUCUAGGACCGCCGUAAUGAUUAAUAGGGACAGUCGGGGGCAUCAGUAUUCAAUUGUCAGAGGUGAAAUUCUUGGAUUUAUUGAAGACUAACUACUGCGAAAGCAUUUGCCAAGGAUGUUUUCAUUAAUCAGGAACGAAAGUUAGGGGAUCGAAGACGAUCAGAUACCGUCGUAGUCUUAACCAUAAACUAUGCCGACUAGGGAUCGGACGAUGUUACAUUUUUGACGCGUUCGGCACCUUACGAGAAAUCAAAGUGCUUGGGCUCCAGGGGGGAGUAUGGUCGCAAGGCUGAAACUUAAAGAAAUUGAC